CUCUCUGUCUCUUUGGGGAGCAUACGCACCCUAUAGCAGAGAAGAAUUUUGGUCGUUGAACCCUGUUUCUCACCUGCCCUGCUGGUUUGGUCAAAAUAGUUAACACAAUAUUUGAGUUAGCUCUAGAUACUAAGAACAAGGAGUCAUAGAGAUCACAGAGUCUAUUGACUGUUUAAAGUCUUCCAUGAGGAAAAAGAGACCCCAAGAGCCAAGCGACUUGAGCAGGGUCCUAUGACUACCUAGAGAAGGUAUUGUCUGCAAGAUGGAAAACAUUAGUCUAUCUUUCAUGAAACUAAGGAACAUUAUAAAGAUCAUCUUAAAAAGUGAGGGCAAUUUCCAGAAACUUUUUGGGUUGAUGAGAUGGAAAAUUGACCAAAAUUUCCUUCAAACUAUCCUCUUGCAUUGCCGUAAAAGAUAAAUCAUUGAGAUGGAUACAUAAAUACCUCAUGUCUAGAAGAUUUUCCAAAUAAUCUUCUAUAAGUGAUUCCUAAUAAAUCACACAGACAGGACUUUACAGUGAAAUCACAAAUGAGUUUAGUACAGGCAUAAUGAUGACAGCCCAAACAUCUGUUGGGUUUUGGACUAAGUGUUUCUAUUUUAGAACUAGGCAUUGAAUCAGGAGAUGGGGCUCCAUGGAACUUGUCAGGGUUUUUAGAUUUCCACCAGAAGACAAAGCUCCUCUACACCGGUGUUCAUAAGAAAUGACAGAUACCAGGGGCUGUGAUUCUUUCUGUAGCUUCAUCAGUACCUAUACCUAGUCUGACAACACACUGCAGAGUGUAGAGAAAAAGGGCACAAAGAGCAUUGGCAGUCUCAGUGUGUGAGGAGUGAUGACCUCUCUCACUCCAUCUUCCCAGUUGCUGGAUCCCCAGGACAUGUCUGAGACUUCUUGGCCUAGCUGACUUGUUAGGUCCAUGAAAGUCUGCUGCUAGCCCUUCACCUGCUCACUCCUGCUUCCCAUGUCCUCUUUAGACUCCAUUCAUCACGAUUCUGAUCUAUAAUCUAUGUCCCUGCUCCCCUGCCCUUGGCUGAAAUCUUGGCCUUUGUCUCUCUGCCAAGCUUAUCCCUGAAUACCAGCAAUUUCCCACAAUCUUUACUUAAUUGGUUACUUUAAUGUCCCACUUAAAACCUUUUCCAUUGUUCAUGUAGAAUUUCAUAGAAUUAUCUUAUAAAGGUGAUUUGAAAAAAUCCUCAGUCUGUAUUAGGAGUAUAUAAAAGACCAGUCUGUGCUCAAAGCCAGUUAUAAAAAAAAAAAAACAACAAAAAACAAAAAACAAAAAACAACUUUUGGCAUUCAUAAGAGGCACUCAUUCCAAAUAAAUAGCAAUCAAUGAACAAACACAUCCUGCUCCAAAGUGCAAAGAGCUGAGGUUUGAAAGGCAGUAAAGUGGGAGAAAUAACUUUUUUCAUUGGAAGAACAGGAGUGACAAGGGCAAAUGUAGGAUGAUUAUGACAGAGAAUCUUCUCAUGAUCCUGAAGGAGUAAGAUAUAGCGACCUGGGGUACCUGGAAAAGUGAUAGGACUGCGAUGAUAGGCUUUUCUUUAUUCCAGUGCAAACCAGUCAGAGCAGUAUUUUAUUUGGACUUUAAAGGUAUGGCAGAUGAAAGCCUUGCAUGCUUUGUUGUAUAGCAAUGCCACUGAAGUUCUAGAAAAACAAGUCUGGGAAGAGCUGACCCCAAGAACAUUGAAGGUGAGUUAGAAAAUUGUGUUCUACUCAAGUCUGGGACAGCUCAAGACUGGCUUAAGCUGUGACCAGUUGUGUGAUCUUUAAGGAAUGACAGAAAUUGGAAAAGCAGGUCGAUAACCACAUGCCCCAGAAGAGGGGCCUGGGAGAUGGGACUGGAGAAGAUGAAUACAUGCUCCAUCUCUGGGCAGAGAGGAGACUAAUGGCUUCUUUUCUAUUUCUGGAACCUAGAAGAAUGUAAGCUUUUAUCUCCCACGCAAGGUGCUCAUCUCCCGGUUUGCAGAGACAACCACCUGUGAGACUGCUGUGAGAACAAGGCAUUAGAACAAGUGUUCAAGUUCCAUGGGAGAGCUAAGAAAAGAGAUUUAUCCACGUUAGUUAAAGGAAUCAUCCUAUGUGACCAACAACCAAUGAAUGGAUUAAGAAAAUGUGGCACAUAUAUACAAUGGAAUACUACUCAGCAGUAAAGAAAAACAAAUCUCUUGUCAUUUGACACAAAAUGGAUAAAUCUAGAAGAUAUACUGCCUAGACCCAGAACUGGCAAUAUAUGACCUGACAAAUCUGGCCCACCACUUGUUUCUAUAUGUUGACUUUCCUCCACCCUCUAUGCACUACCUGUCACCCUGAGCUUGGGUCUCAGUAAUAAUUUCCCAACUUUGUGAGAGUCAGAGCCUCUAAUUGUGCUAAGGAGGCCAAUCUCCAAUAACGGCACCCAAGCAACGACUUUGAUGCAAGAGUUUGGAGCAGCCUGGCUUUAGCACACAAUGACUCGUUUCAGCACAUUUCCUGGAGGAGAAGGCAGCCCUGAUACACUGAAAUUGCAGCUUCAUCAUAACUUCCAAUGUAAGGUCCCUGGUGCAAAGAAAAUGUUGUCAUCUGCCUCUGAAGACAUUCUAGUGUUCAGUAUGAAACUCUCAAAGUCUUUAGACUGUAUCCUGGGCCCAGAUUCACCUGUAGUCCCUGAUUGCUGCAGGAAAAUCUCUUAUAGACCAUUGGUGUGGACCUGUGUACCCCAGGCUCUGUUAUCAACACCAGGAAUUGCCUCACAACUGUCACCCAAUAAAGUCAUUGAAAUAUCCUAGCGGCAGCACCACGAGCUACUUAGCACUUUGAUCUUCCUAGUACUCUCAGUCUAGCAGGCCACUGUUGGGUGGCUUCAGUGGUCCCAGAUCCAUUUAGCACUUGAGUACAUUUCUAAAUUAGAUCCAGGUUUACAGCUUAUUGAUGGAAUUUGACUUUUAACUGAAGAAUUCUUAGAAAAAUAGUUAAGUUGCAUAUCGAGCAGUAAAACAAUAAAAUUUACUUUCAAGGACUGUUUUUGUUUUCUCAGAGUGCCUCACACUGCCAGCAGCCUCUUUUCUCCCCUUCAUGGCCUCUAAUACUUUCUACUAUUCUAAAAUGGUCCUUCAGGAAGGACCAGAACUAACACUGGCAUUAGCAUCAUCUGAGACCUUGUUAAAAUGGGCUGGCCCUGUAGCCUAGUGGUUAAGGGAGCUGGAUCCCAUAUGGGCAACUGUAGUUUGAAUCCCACUUUGGAAGGCUUGAUAAAACACACUGAGUGAGUGUGUGUGCAUGCAUGUCCCCAAAUCCUAACAGAAU